UCUAUCUACUAUUGAAAGCAAGAAAAAACCAGUUGUGUUCCAGUGAAAAGCACAAAGAGAAAAAAGUAAAGGAAUUAACUGUUGUUGUUGUCUUUCAUCUCUUCAUAGCCAUGGCUUCCCUAGAAUAGAAUUCUCAAAGGUCAAAGGAGGAAGGAGUAGAGUUCUUAAUUUUUGAGGUUAUAGAGCCAAAGGAAAUGAGAGAAGCUGGGCGAGGUAAAAGUGGAAGAGGAGGUAUGGGAUGUAGAUGUGGACGUGGCAGCUUUCCAGAACAUGUAAGUUCUAAAACAACAUGUCAUCCACAAAUACAACCAAUAUUGCACCUUCUUUGGAGACUGGACAGCCAACUAGUCUAAGCCAAGGACCUCUAUAAAUAGAACGUAUGUCAAGUGGCCUUGUCCAAAGGAUAUCCCCAGAGACACAAUCAUCGAUAAAUCUAGAUGAAAAUGUAUGACUUAGCGUAGAGGCUGAAACCGGUGCAGGUUAGUUCAUGAUUUAACUUCCCUUCUUAUUAAUUCAUAACAUAUACAUAAGCACUGUCGAGGCUAGUUCGUUUACGUUGGUGAGUAUGGCACCUGUAACUUAAUUUGAAGAAAAAGGGAAUAAAAUUGGCAGAUCAAUGCCUUAUUUUAAUUUUUUUUGUUCCCACUCCAUCACAAGAUUAGCUUCCCUUCUUAUUAAUUCAUAAGAUAUACAUAAGCACCAUCGAGUCUAGUUCAUUUAGGUUGGUGAGUAUGGCACUUGUAACUUAAUUUGAAGGAAAAGGAAGACAAUCGACAGAUCACUGCCUUAUUUCAGUUUCUUUUGUUCCCAUUUCGCCACAUGAUUAACUUUCCUUCUUAUUAAUUCAUAACAUAUACAUAAGCACCGUCGAGGCUAAUUCGUUCACGUUAGUGAGUAUGGCACUUGUAACUUAAUUUGAAGGAAAAAGGGAAGACAAUAGGCAGAUCACUGCCUGAUUUUAGUUUUUUUUGUUCCCACUUUGCCACACGAUUAACUUUUAUUCUUAUUAAUUCCUAACAUAUAUAUAAGCACCGUCGUGUUAUUUCUUUUUCUUAUUCUUGAUUAAUGUUUUUGUAUAGAAUGGGGCUUAUCUUUGGCUUUGAGUGAACGUUAGUGCAUCCAUAAGGUUCCUAUUAGUCUAGAUUAUCAAACGUUAUUCUUUAAA